AAUUAGCCUUUUAAUUGAAGGAGAGGAUGAAUGGUGAUAUUGACCAGCCCAUAAUUUUUUAAAUUGUGAAUUUUUAUUGUAGGUGAAAACGCCGACAUAGUCCACCCAGACAAAAAGACCCUAUGAAGCUUACAAUUUAAGUUGCAAAUUAUUUUAAGAAAUUGUUUUUUUGGGGAAAAUUUUAAUCAUUUUAUUCUUGUUCUAUUAGAUCCUAAGAAGAACUAUGAAAAAGCUCCUCUAGGGAUAACAGCGCCAUUUUAUUUAAGAGCCCACAUCAAAAAUAAAGA
rnacentral:rRNA from 1 species